GUGUCAGCAGCCGCGGUAAUACGUAGGUCCCGAACGUUGCGCGAAUUUACUGGGCGUAAAGGGUCCGUAGGCGGUUGUGUAAGUCCAGGGUUGAAGGCCCCGGCUCAACCGGGGAGAGGCCCUGGAGACUGCAUGACUUGAGUGAGCGAGGGGAGGGCGGAAUUCCUGGUGUAGCGGUGAAAUGCGUAGAUAUCAGGAGGAAGGCCUGUGGCGAAGGCGGCCCUCUGGCGCUCAACUGACGCUGAGGCGCGAAAGCGUGGGUAGCAAACAGGAUUAGAUACCCUGGUAGUCCACGCCCUAAACGGUGGGCACUAGGUGUGGGGCUCGAGAGGGUUCCGUGCCGAAGGGAAACCAAUAAGUGCCCCGCCUGGGGAGUACGGCCGCAAGGUUGAAACUCAAAUGAAUUGACGGGG
rnacentral:rRNA from 1 species